rnacentral:rRNA from 1 species
GACGUAGGAUGCAAGCGUUGUCCGGAAUUAUUGGGCGUAAAGAGUUCGUAGGCGGUUUCUUAAGUCUGGCGUUAAAGCCCGGAGCUCAACUCCGGCAUGGCGUUGGAAACUGGGAGGCUAGAGUGUGGUAGAGGUCUCGGGAAUUCCAGGUGUAGCGGUGAAAUGCGUAGAUAUCUGGAGGAACACCGGUGGCGAAAGCGCGAGACUGGGCCAUAACUGACGCUGAGGAACGAAAGCCAGGGGAGCGAAAGGG